rnacentral:rRNA from 1 species
UCGAGAAUCUUCCACAAUGGACGAAAGUCUGAUGGAGCGACGCCGCGUGAUUGAUGAAGUCCCUCUGGGACGUAAAGAUCUUUUAUGAGGGAAGAAGUUUAUUGACUGUACCUCAUGAAUAAGAGGCUCCUAAUCUCGUGCCAGCAGGAGCGGUAAUACGAGAGCCUCGAGCGUUAUCCGGAAUUAUUGGGCGUAAAGGGUGCGUAGGUUGUUCUGUUAGUCUUUUGUUAAAGACCCGAGCUUAACUUGGGGAUCGCGAAAGAAACGGCAGAACUUGAAAGUGCGAGAGGUUUGCGGAACUCAUGGUGUAGGGGUGAAAUCCGUUGAUAUCAUGGGGAACACCAAAUGCGAAGGCAGCAAACUGGCGCAUAUUUGACACUGAAGCACGAAAGCGUGGGUAGCGAAUGGGAUUAGAUACCCGCGUAGUCC